CCACGCGGCGCUGAGAUCUCGUCCCCGGAUAACAUAACCUGAAAAUCCAAUUGAACAUUGUAAAUGUUCAAAAAUCCAGUGUGAACCAACGCAAUUUAAUUAAUUUUGUUAUUGAAUCAUUUUAAGGAUACAAAAAUGCCGGGAAUUUGUGCCGUGACAGGGUGCAAAACCAGAAGCAAAAUUGAAACAUGGAAGCACUCAUUAUUUUCCGUACCAAAAAACACAGUGCGGAGGAAAUGACAUAUGUCAUGAAUGGAAGAAAGCGGAUAAGAUGGUCGAAUAAUCGUACAAUGAAAUUCAAUUACGAGUCGUCACGAAACACGAUGGGAAUUGAGACAGUGAACGAACCUCUGAAAGAAGUACACAUGACACAUGUAUAGUGUUUCAACUGUAGUUACAGAAAUAGAUUUACCGUCUUCAGUUGGAACUACAUUAUGGUCGAUCUCUGUAAAUCUACCGGCAUAGGGCAAUCGUACAUAAACUUUGAAGAAACAGAUAUGGAAUUAUUGCCCUCAGCUACCGAGCCAUGGAAAAUCUGUGGCAAAACGUUGCAAGUCUGCUACUGGUGCAAACAGGUGCUCAAGAAAUACAAAUCAUGUAUAACUUGUGAAGAAGCUGUGAAGAUGAAACUCCAUUUUUGGUGUCAUGAUUGCUGUAGAUGAAAACAAGUGGUAGUAUGAUAUACGCAAGUUUCUACAUUUUUCAACCUCAUUUGGCAUUGUGAAGCUUCAUUCAAGAAGUACUAUUCUCGUAUUAAUGCUUCUAAUCUAACCCGACAAAGUAUGCACAUUUUCUUUGCUGUUGUAGAAAACACCUUUUUGAAAUCCAUCUUACGCUAUUAUUUAUUAUAUUAGAUUAAAAAUGAGACAAAAUGCUUACCAGGAAUAUCGAAAUUUAAAAACAGACUUCAAUGUGAAAAAAAUUGUCAAUUGACUAAUAGUCAAUAGGAUAGAGAAAACAGUUGAUCAUUUAUAUAAGCUUCAAAGAAUAAAGAGCAACCUGCCACAA